rnacentral:rRNA from 1 species
GACGAACGCUGGCGGCGUGCUUAACACAUGCAAGUCGAGCGGUAAGGCCCUUUCGGGGGUACACGAGCGGCGAACGGGUGAGUAACACGUGGGUGACCUGCCCUCAGCUCUGGGAUAAGCCUGGGAAACCGGGUCUAAUACCGGAUAUGACUCCAUGACGCAUGUUGUGGGGUGAAAGCCUUGUGCGGCUGAGGAUGGGCCCGCGGCCUAUCAGCUUGUUGGUGGGGUGAUGGCCUACCAAGGCGACGACGGGUAGCCGGCCUGAGAGGGCGACCGGCCACACUGGGACUGAGACACGGCCCAGACUCCUACGGGAGGCAGCAGUGGGGAAUCUUGCGCAAUGGGCGAAAGCCUGACGCAGCGACGCCGCGUGAGGAUGAC